rnacentral:rRNA from 1 species
CCUACGGGUGGCAGCAGUGAGGAAUAUUGGUCAAUGGACGAGAGUCUGAACCAGCCAAGUAGCGUGAAGGAUGACUGCCCUAUGGGUUGUAAACUUCUUUUAUAUGGGAGUAAACUGUUCCACGUGUGGGAUUUUGUAUGUACCAUAUGAAUAAGGAUCGGCUAACUCCGUGCCAGCAGCCGCGGUAAUACGGAGGAUCCGAGCGUUAUCCGGAUUUAUUGGGUUUAAAGGGAGCGUAGGUGGAUUGUUAAGUCAGUUGUGAAAGUUUGCGGCUCAACCGUAAAAUUGCAGUUGAAACUGGCAGUCUUGAGUACAGUAGAGGUGGGCGGAAUUCGUGGUGUAGCGGUGAAAUGCUUAGAUAUCACGAAGAACUCUGAUUGCGAAGGCAGUUCACUGGACUGCAACUGACACUGAGGCUCGAAAGUGUGGGUAUCAAACAGGAUUAGAUACCCGGGUAGUC